GGGGAGUUAGCUCAGUGGUAGAGCGCUCGCUUUGCAUGCGAGAGGCCGUGUGUUCGAUCCCCACAUUCUCCA
rfam:Smittium mucronatum strain ALG-7-W6 scaffold-1628, whole genome shotgun sequence.